CCCGGGUUCACGCCUCAGCCUCCAGAGCAGCUGGGACUACAGGCGCCCGCCGCCUCGCCCCGGCUAAUUUUUUUGUUUUUUGUUUGGUAUUUUUAGUAGAGGCGGGGUUUCACUGUGUUAGCCAGGCUGGUCUCAAUCUCCUGACCUCGUGAUCUGCCCGCCUCGGCCUCCCAAAGUGCUGGGAUUACAGGCGUGAGCCACCGAGCCCGGCUGGUUGCCUUCUUAAGACUGGACACUCUGUAUUGAAGUAAAGACAAGUUCAUAGCAUCUAAAUUACAUUGCUCCAAAGUGAAAUGAAAAUGAAGAAAAUCUGCUGUGAAGAAUUAGAAUCAGUUAUAUAGACAGAAUGAGUAACAAGAAUUGAAACAGAAUGUAAAAUCAAAGGAAACAAGAAAGAAAUGAGAAAACCAUGCAAAAAGAAAGAUAAGGAGAUUAUUUUAGCCAGGGGUCUCUAACCCGUGGACCCCGGACCAGUACCAGUCUAUGGCCUGUUAGGAAAGUGGGCUCCACAGCAGGAGGUGAGUGGCAGUUGAGCGAGCAUUACCGCCUCCUGUCAGAUCAUCAGCAGCAUUAGAUUCUCAUGGGAGCAUGAACCCUAUUGUGAACUGUGCAUGUGAGGGAUCUAGGUUUUGCACUCCUUAUGAGAAUCUAAUACCUGAUGAUCUGUGGUGGGACAGUUUCAUCCUGAAACCAUCCCCCUUCCACCAUCCAUGGAAAAAUUGUCUUCCGUGAAACUGGUCCCUCAUGCCAAAAAGGUUGGGGAUGGCUGAUUUAAGCCAUAAAUGCCUUGGUCAGGAAUUUAGAGUUUUCCAGUGAUAGGAGUUGAAAACAAUGGCCAAAUGGCCAGAUGCAAAAAUUCUAAGGACAUAAAGAAGCUCAGAGAAAUUUCAAAUGAAAGAUACCUGGGUUGGUGUGAAUGUAGAGACACUAGAGAAAAUGAGAGAAAACCAUGCCUUUCUUUGCCCCACUGUAGGGCUAUUCUUUUAAGGCAUAAUCUUUGAAAGAGUUGAGGACAGUGUGAAAUCUUGGAAUGAUUUCUCUAUACCCUGAAAUUUUCAAAAUAUGCUCUCCAAUACUAUGAAACUCAAGGUGAGGUCCUAGAGAGGAGUUUGUAGUCAUUCUAUAUUUUGGGAAAGAUACAAUUUUGGAAGACAUCAGUUCAGAGAAGUUCCUGAACAAGUUAAAUUGAGCACACAUAUUGUGCCUUCAUCAUCUGUAUUUUGGUUUCUGCACUGGAAACAAAGUCCAUUUGGCCUUGUUCAUUUUGAGGAAUCAAACGCAUCUAGCAACUCUCUCACUUUUACUUCUGGCUAUAAUCUGCCGCCCCAUCUACAGGUGUGGGUGUGGAAAGGGAGGAGUGAAGAGUGUGUUGGAAAACACUAGUGAUGUGAUGAAGGGGUCAAAGUUUUAAGUGGUAUAUAGGCACUGACCAGUCAAAAUCGGAUGGUGCCCAAAUUAACUGGAAGAACUCUACUAGUACUUAUCAGCAGAAAAUCACCUCUGAACUUGUCAGCAAGACCACCGAAUUGGAAGCUGGCUUACUGAGAAGCUAUCAGGGAUUCAUCAACAUGGCCACAACAUUCUCAUAUAAUUUACUGUAACUUUUUCUUAUUAAAAUUCCAG
rnacentral:lncRNA from 1 species